AUUAAGUUUCAUUGACUACUCUUUAAUAAAUUCAUAUAAUAUCUUCAUUGUCAGACGUUUAUAUUUACUUUUCAAUUUUAAAAACCACACUUUUUUUCUAUUCCGCAAACCUCUUUCUAGGAUUGACAACUUGUUUUUUCAAGUUUCAUAUUCAUUGCUAAGAGAUUCUAAUUCCCCGAGGAUAUAAAGUUUGACCUAUUAUAUUCCCCAUGGUUCAAAGUUGAUGCGAACACAUUUGCGCUAGUUACUGCAACCCACAAGCCAAACCUCUCUCAACCAUGGGCAAGGAAAGGACUACCGUCAACAUCACCCUCAUCGGACACAUUGCUUGAACUAAUUCAAACAUCAACAUGGACUUCCCGAUAAAAUGAUUAUGAUGACGGAUUGAUUCUCUACGAUUUGAUUUAUAAAAUGAGUACCAAAAAAAUACAUUCACAGAUUCACACAUGUAGCUACAUUCAAACACAAACACAUCAUCACUAAAAAUGUUUGGCAAUAAAGUUUCAGUUUUCUAAAUUCCAA